rnacentral:rRNA from 1 species
GCUACGGGAGGCAGCAGUGAGGAAUAUUGGUCAAUGGGCGGAAGCCUGAACCAGCCAAGUCGCGUGAGGGAAUAAGGCCCUACGGGUGGUAAACCUCUUUUGCCGGGGAGCAAGGGCCGGGACGCGUCCCGGCCCGGACAGUACCCGGAGACAAAGCAUCGGCUGACUCCGUGCCAGCAGCCGCGGUAAUACGGAGGUUGCGAGCUUUAUCCGGCUUUAUUGGGUUAAAAGGGUGCGUAGGCGGGCUUUUAAGUCAGCGGUAAAAAUUCGGGGCUCAACCCCGUCCGGCCGUUGAAACUGGGGGCCUUGAGUGGGCGAGAGGUAGGCGGAAUGCGUGGUGUAGCGGUGAAAUGCAUAGAUAUCACGCAGAACCCCGAUUGCGAAGGCAGCCUACCGGCGCCCUACUGACGCUGAGGCACGAAAGUGCGGGGAUCGAACAGGAUUAGAUACCCUUGUAGUC